CGGAACGGGUGAGUAACGCGUGAGGAACCUGCCUCAAAGAGGGGGACAACAGUUGGAAACGACUGCUAAUACCGCAUAAGCCCACGGCUCGGCAUCGAGCAGAGGGAAAAGGAGCAAUCCGCUUUGAGAUGGCCUCGCGUCCGAUUAGCUAGUUGGCGAGGUAACGGCCCACCAAGGCGACGAUCGGUAGCCGGACUGGGAGGUUGAACGGCCACAUUGGGACUGAGACACGGCCCAG
rnacentral:rRNA from 1 species